UACGAAGGGGGCGAGCGUUGUUCGGAAUCACUGGGCGUAAAGGGCGCGCAGGCGGUGCGGUAAGUUAGGCGUGAAAGCCCCGGGCUCAACCCGGGAAUGGCGUUUGAGACUGCCGUGCUCGAGUUCGGGAGAGGAGCGUGGAAUUCCCAGUGUAGAGGUGAAAUUCGUAGAUAUUGGGAAGAACACCGGAGGCGAAGGCGGCGCUCUGGACCGAGACUGACGCUGAGGCGCGAAAGCGUGGGGAG
rnacentral:rRNA from 1 species